UCCACACAAAGUAGGUUAAUAUUUAGGAGGUACACUAUCGUCCACACAGAGUAGGUCAAUAUUUAGGAGGUACACCAUCGUCCACACACAGUAGGUCGGUAUUUAGGAGGUACACCAUCGUCCACACAGAGUAGGUCGGUAUUUAGGAGGUACACCAUCGUCCACAUAGAGUAGGUCAAUAUUUAGGAGGUACACCAUCGUCCACACAGAGUAGGUCGGUAUUUAGGAGGUACACCAUCGUCCACACAGAGAAGGUCAAUAUUUAGGAGGUUCACCAUCGUCCACACAGAGUAGGUUGGUAUUUAGGAGGUACA